rnacentral:rRNA from 1 species
UACGUAGGGUGCAAGCGUUGUCCGGAUUUAUUGGGCGUAAAGAGCUCGUAGGCGGUUAGUCACGUCGGAUGUGAAAACCCAGUGCUUAACACUGGGCCUGCAUUCGAUACGGGCUGACUAGAGUGUUGUAGGGGAGACUGGAACUCCUGGUGUAGCGGUGAAAUGCGCAGAUAUCAGGAAGAACACCGGUGGCGAAGGCGGGUCUCUGGGCAACUACUGACGCUGAGGAGCGAAAGCGUGGGGAGCAAACAGGAUUAGAUACCCCCGUA